UAGAGUUUGAUCAUGGCUCAGAACGUACGCUGGCGGCACGCCUAACACAUGCAAGUCGAACGAAGUAGCAAUACUUAGUGGCAGACGGGUGAGUAACAUGUAGGUAUCUGCCCUUUGGCCUGGAAUAACACGAGGAAACUUGUGCUAAUACCGGAUAAGUCUUUACGGAGAAAGCUUUAUGCACCAUUGGAUGAGCCUGCACUUGAUUAGUUUGUUGGUGGGGUAAUGGCCUACCAAGACUAUGAUCAAUAGCUGAUUUGAGAGGAUGAUCAGCCACAUUGGGACUGAGACACGGCCCAAACUCCUACGGGAGGCAGCAGUGGGGAAUCUUGCACAAUGGAGGAAACUCUGAUGCAGCGAUGCCGCGUGAGUGAAGAAGGCCCUUGGGUUGUAAAGCUCUUUCGUCGGGGAAGAAAAUGACUGUACCCGAAUAAGAAGGUCCGGCUAACUUCGUGCCAGCAGCCGCGGUAAUACGAAGGGACCUAGCGUAGUUCGGAAUUACUGGGCUUAAAGAGUUCGUAGGUGGUUGAAAAAGUUGGUGGUGAAAUCCCAGAGCUUAACUCUGGAACUGCCAUCAAAACUUUUCAGCUAGAGUAUGAUAGAGGAAAGCAGAAUUUCUAGUGUAGAGGUGAAAUUCGUAGAUAUUA
rnacentral:rRNA from 1 species